ACCUUUUAUCACCAAAACCAAAACAUAAGAAAAUAAAAAUCUCCUAUGUUUUUCAAAUGAGAGGUUGAACUUUUAAAGCAAGUACUUUUCACGCUUAUUUAAAACACUUGCAGUAUAUUAUUAAUCUUACAAAAAAUGCCCUUUGACAUAGUUUUAGUAUUAUAUUUGAUAAUAGUUUUACUCUCUUUUUUCCCAAAAGUAAUAAUAUAAAUGGUCUCUAAGAAGCAAACAAAUUACUCAAAUUUUCAAUGUAAACCUACUAAUUAAUCAGAUGAUUAGAGAGAGAGUGGGUGAGAGGGUAGUUGUCAACAUCGUUGAUAUUUGGAGAACGAGGUAGCUGAGAUUUGGCUACGUACGUCAUUAAUGGCAACACUACCUCUAUCCUUUAAAGCUGAAGGAAUUAAAGGCAAUAAAGGCGCCUAAUAUUACUCCUAAUCACUCCUCCCUCACAAACUCUCCACUGCCAACAAGAAAGAAUCGUCCAAGAUUUGCGUUUUACUGAAGAUUUGACCGUAGGCGUAAAGUUUUCAUCAUCCGAAGUACUAUUGUUUCAGAUUUGCGUUUUACUGAAGAUUUGACCGUAGGCGUAAAGUUUUCAUCAUCCGAAGAUUUGCGUUUUACUGAAGAUUUGACCGUAGGUGUAAAGUUUUCAUCAUCCGAAGUUAAGCCCCAUAUCGAAACAGGGAGGAUGGCAGGAACAGGAAGUAGUGGCCUGGGGCGACAGGCACAGGGAGAAGUGGAUGCUGAUCAUGCUGAGAUAGGGCGAUUCGAAGAAAAAUAUAACAAACUUAAGAUGGAGAAUGGAUUGCUAUUUUUUUUUUUUUUUUUU